rnacentral:lncRNA from 1 species
GGGGAGGGCGGCAAUGGGGGGAGGGUUGGGAGGGGAACACCCAUAAGGAAGGGGAGGGGGGAGGGGGAUGUUUGUCUGGAAACCGGGAAAGGGAAUAACACUUGAAGUGUAUAUAAGAAAUACUCAAGUUAAUAAAAAAAAAAAAAAAAGAAUCGACAAAUGGGAUCUCAUAAAACUGCAAAGCUUCUGUAAGGCAAAGAACACUGUGGUUAGGACAAAACGGCAACCAACAGAUUGGGAAAAGAUCUUUACCAAUCCUACAACAGAUAGAGGCCUUAUAUCCAGAAUAUACAAAGAACUCAAGAAGUUGGACCGCAGGGAAACAAAUAACCCUAUUAAAAAUGGGGUUCUGAGCUAAACAAAGAGUUCACAGCUGAGGAAUGCUGAAUGGCUGAGAAACACCUAAAGAAAUGUUCAACAUCUUUAGUCAUAAGGGAAAUGCAAAUCAAAACAACCCUGAGAUUUCACCUCACACCAGUGAGAAUGGCUAAGAUCAAAAACUCAGGUGACAGCAAAUGCUGGCGAGGAUGUGGAGAAAGAGGAACACUCCUCCAUUGUUGGUGUGAUUGCAGACUGGUAAGACCAUUCUGGAAAUCAGUCUGGAGGUUCCUCAGAAAAUUGGACAUUGAACUACCUGAGGAUCCAGCUAUACCUCUCUUGGGCAUAUACCCACAAGAUACCCCAACAUAUAAAAAAGACACGUGCUCCACUAUGUUCAUAGCAGCCUUAUUUAUAAUAGCCAGAAGCUGGAAAGAACCCAGAUGUUCUUCAACAGAGGAAUGGAUACAGAAAAUGUGGUACAUCUACACAAUGGAAUAUUACUCAGCUAUCAAAAAAAA